rnacentral:rRNA from 1 species
AGCGAACGCUGGCGGCAGGCUUAACACAUGCAAGUCGAACGGGCGUAGCAAUACGUCAGUGGCAGACGGGUGAGUAACGCGUGGGAACGUACCUUUUGGUUCGGAACAACCCAGGGAAACUUGGGCUAAUACCGGAUAAGCCCUUACGGGGAAGAUUUAUCGCCGAAAGAUCGGCCCGCGUCUGAUUAGCUAGUUGGUGAGGUAAUGGCUCACCAAGGCGACGAUCAGUAGCUGGUCUGAGAGGAUGAUCAGCCUCAUUGGGACUGAGACACGGCCCAAACUCCUACGGGAGGCAGCAGUGGGGAUAUUGGACAAUGGGCGCAAGCCUGAUCCAGCCAUGCCGCGUGGGUGAUGAAGGCCCUAGGGUUGUAAAGCCCUUUCGGCGGGGAA